GAUGAACGCUAGCGGCAGGCCUAAUACAUGCAAGUCGAACGGUGUCUUCGGACAUAGUGGCGCACGGGUGCGUAACACGUAUGCAACCUACCUUACAUUGGGGGAUAGCCUUUCGAAAGGGAGAUUAAUACCGCAUAAGACAGUAGCUGGGCAUCCAGCAGCUGUUAAAGAUUUAUCGAUGUAAGCUGGGCAUGCGUCCAAUUGGCUAGUUGGUGAGGUAACGGCUCACCAAGGCAAUGAUUGGUAGGGGAACUGAGAGGUCAGUCCCACACACUGACACUGAGAUACGGGCCAGACUCCUACGGGAGGCAGCAGUAGGGAAUAUUGGGCAAUGGACGCAAGUCUGACCCAGCCAUGCCGCGUGCAGGAUGAAGGCGUUAUGCGUUGUAAACUGCUUUUAUACAGGAAGAAACGACUCUUGCGAGAGGCAUUGACGGUACUGUAUGAAUAAGCACCGGCUAACUCCGUGCCAGCAGCCGCCGUAAUAC
rnacentral:rRNA from 1 species